rnacentral:rRNA from 1 species
CCUACGGGUGGCAGCAGUGAGGAAUAUUGGUCAAUGGGCGCGAGCCUGAACCAGCCAAGUCGCGUGAGGGAAGACGGUCCUAUGGAUUGUAAACCUCUUUUGUCGGGGAGCAAAAGACGCCACGCGUGGCGUUCCGAGAGUACCCGAAGAAUAGGCAUCGGCUAACUCCGUGCCAGCAGCCGCGGUAAUACGGAGGAUGCGAGCGUUAUCCGGAUUUAUUGGGUUUAAAGGGUGCGCAGGCGGAAGAUCAAGUCAGCGGUAAAAUUGGGGGGCUCAACCUCUUCGAGCCGUUGAAACUGGUUGUCUUGAGUGAGUGAGAGGUAUGCGGAAUGCGUGGUGUAGCGGUGAAAUGCAUAGAUAUCACGCAGAACUCCGAUUGCGAAGGCAGCAUACCGGCGCUCAACUGACGCUCAUGCACGAAAGUGUGGGGAUCGAACAGGAUUAGAUACCCCUGUAGUC